ensembl:lincRNA
CAGUGUUGCAGAGAGUUGGUAUGGGCAAAAAUGCAUGAAAUGUCAGAUAGAAAAAUACAAACCCUAGACUAUGGGAAAUAAGAUAGUGAAGAGAUUUUUUCCUACAUUAAUCAUCAGAGGAAGCUUCCUCAUAGAGAUUGUAAUUAGUCUGUGUGUGUGUGUUCUGUGUGUGUGUUAGUUUGAGGUUCCCCAAAAGUAGUGCCUGAUAUGGAUGAGUCAAAUGCAAGUAGCUUAUUUGGAAGGUGGGGGAGACACCAGCAAGAAGGUAGAGAAGUGAGGCAGGAAGGGAGGCAUCAACAAAGAGUAGAUAAUAAGAUGAUCGGCCCAGUGGGCAGCUGACAUCCCAUGGGAAGCUCUGGGAAGCCAUGUUGAACAAACGCCUUGGACUAACUCUCUCCAAAGGAUGAGGAAGCUGUGGUUUUUGUACACCAUUCCUGACACCCAUAGGUUGAGGCUGCUCCUGAAAGAGGAGGUAUUAAUUCUCUGACACUUUCUGCCUGCCUGUGCAAGGUCGGGACAGGCUUCAUGACCACAGAGAGCCCUCAGGCAAAGAGAAGCGAGUACCAACAGUUGGAAGAGGAGCCAGUGAGCAUGAAACAACAAAGGAAAUGAGAGGGAACGCCAUACACUGUACGUGUUGCGUGUGUGUGUGUGUGUGUGUGCAUACGCACGUCCACACACAAACAAACGAGUACAGAUAGAGAAGACCUUUUAGGCCAAGAGAAGAACACUUUAGCGGGAGCAAAGUAUACAUAAAAGGAUGGGAGAGGAAUUAGGUGAUAAGAGUGCAUUAAAAUCGCCUUUCCAACCAGUGAGACUGCUCUAACAGUUUGCUAUUUCCACAGUGAGAUUAAGAAUUACAGAUUUCCUCAUCGAUGUGGCAAAUUUCUGGUUGUUCCCUCUUAAAAUGAAAUAAUGAAGCUAGAACAGAUAAGGCAGUCAAUAUUUCCCAUCCAUUUCCCCAUCCUGCAUGGAAUUUUGGCUGUCCAAGGAAAAUGUCUUCACUGGAAGUCACUCUGCUUCUCUCUUGGACUCAUCUGGAAAGAUCAUUUUGUUGCAAGCCGCCAUGCCGUGCUAAGUCCCUUCAGUCAUGUCUGCACACUACGGACUGUAGCCUGCCAGGCUCCUCCGUCCACGGGAUUCUCCAGGCAAGAACGCUGGGGUGGGCUGUUGUUACAGCCUAUCUAAAUUAUUAACAGCAUUUAGAAUAUCGGGUUGAUCAGGGGAUUUUAUAGCAGUGAAGUUAUUACUGUAAUGAAUACAUAGUAUAAAUCUUUACUCUAUUCAGCCUAGGGACUUAGAGCCAUUCGGUUUUCAGCCUCCAGCUUAAAAAUGACCCUGAGGUGUAAAUGGGUGAAUCAGGCACGAAUAGUCUGCUGGGCUUCUCACUGUUUGUUCCAGAAGAGGGGGGAUAGUACCUGUGGGUGGCUGGGCCAGGAGGAAAUCCUGACUUCAGUUUUCUCUGUUCUCGAUGGCAAACACUCUGGGGGUAUCUCCUGAGAAAGUGGAGGAGAAAAAAAAGCCUGGAGGAGAUUUCAAAGAUGCUAGGAAAAAUUGGCUGCUCCCCUAAGCUAUUCUCCACGGUGAUACUCACACACACGUGCACGUGCGCACGCACGCCCGCGCGUGCGCGCACACACACACACACACACACACAAGUACACAUGCAUGAAAUCCAUGCUUAAAUCCUAUGUUGCUAAGACAGAUUGUUGUCAGCCAGCCAAUGUUUAGACCUUCGUGAAACCACAGCUUUGACAGGAAGAAAAAUCACCCUAAAGGCUUGACGAGCUGGGGAAGCUGACUUCAUCUAUUUCAUAAUUUUACUUAGACCUCCAGCCUGAUUUGCCACAUCCUGAUCUAAAGGAGAAUCAAGUCAUUUAAUGAUAAUAAUAGCAUAUAAUUAUUCUUAACAACUAUAACGUUAAAGUGCUAUGCGAAAUCUAUAUUCUCCCCAACAGCCCUAUAAAAUAAGCUGUUCUCGAACUAUCAUUUUAUAGGUAAAGAAACUGAGCCUCUGAGAGGUAGACUGAAUAGAACUCAAGCCACCAGAUCCUAACCUGGGACUUUGUUUAUACAUUUUUCAAGUCUACUAAAAUAGUUGUCUCAUUACUAUCUAUGUAAUACUCUGAAGGGUGUAACAGGACUUGGGCAAGAACCACAGAGGCAAGCUAGGAAAAAAUAUGCAUGCAUAGUAGACCUAGGGCCUGGGACAUCAUGCAAUAUGAUAGAAGUGGCUGAAGUUACAUGAGGUUUAAGGUUUGAGUUGUGGAAGCCUGUUUGUGGAUGAAAGGAAAUUAGAAGGGACCUGGCUGGGAGAGACUGAGGAUUAGGAGAAAAUGCUUGGACGUCAGGGGACAGGAGAACGUCUUAGUGGAAACUGUCCUCUUGGUGAGUUGACAUGUCAUACAUCUAGAUAUCCUGACCCUUCACUGGAGGGGGUAACUGCUGAAGUGGAAACAUUGGAUGUUAUCUCUAUUGGAGGGAGAAUGGAAAAAUUAAGAGCAAAUGUUGAAGGUUGAGUCUGGGAAAAAGCACUUGUUUAGUAGGGGCAGGAAGAAGGCCUGAGAAAUAGGAAAUGAGAAGUUAAAUGGUAUUACAUUGUUAGAUUAAGAAGUCCAAAGAGUUGAAUUUCAGUGCUGCUGCUGGCAGUCGCGAGCACAGAUGGAGAACGAGAGUCACUGAUUAGCAGGUCACCUGGUGCUUUUAGCAUAACGGCAUCUCUCAUGGCACUGGUAAGUCUCUGGAGUGAUAUUCUGUAGAAGGUGGAUGUCGGGUGCUUACAUAGUGGUAUUUUGUGAGACCUGGAGAGUACAGUUAUAGGUCAUAUGUAAAAUUUGAAACACACCCGUGGUGGAUUCAUGUCAAUGUAUGGCAAAACCAAUACAGUAUUGUAAAGUAAAAUAAAGUAAAAAUAAAAAUUUUUAAAAAAAGAAAAAAAAAAGAAAAGUAACUAUGAUUAACUUAAAAAAAAAGAUAAAAGGAAGAACUGUAAGGUAGAAAACAACAGGAUUUUUUUUCUUUCCAAUUUGGUUGAUAUGCA